CGUUUUCAUUAAUCAAGAUCGAAAGUCGGGGGAUCGAAACCGAUCAGAUACCGUUGUAGUCCCGACCAUAAACUAUGCCGACUAGGGAUCGGACGACGCUUAUUUGUUUGGCCCGUCCGGCACCUUUCGAGAAAUCAAAGUCUUUGGGUUCCUGGGGGAGUAUGGUGGCAACGCUGAAACUUAAAGAAAUUGACGGAAGGGCACCACCAGGGGUGGAGCCUGCGGCUUAAUUUGACUCAACACGGGGAAACUCACCAGGUCCAGACACGGCGAGGAUUGACAGACUGACAGCUCUUUCUUGAUUUCGUGGGUGGUGGUGCAUGGCCGUUCUUAGUUGGUGGAGUGAUUUGUCUGCUUAAUUGCGAUAACGAACGAGACCUUAUCCUGCCAAAUAGCCCGCGCCGCCUCGGCGGCGUGCCGGCUUCUUGGAGGGACUAUCGGCUCAAGCCGAUGGAAGUUUGAGGCAAUAACAGGUCUGUGAUGCCCUUAGAUGUUCUGGGCCGCACGCGCGCGACACUGACGGGGCCAGCGAGUACUCCUUGCCCGAGAGGGUUGGGUAAUCUUGUGAAACCCCGUCGUGCUGGGGAUAGAGCAUUGUAAUUGUUGCUCUUCAACGAGGAAUCCUAGUAAGCGCGAGUCAUCAGCUCGCGUUGAAUACGUCCCUGCCCUUUGUACACACCGCCCGUCGCUACUACCGAUCGAGCGGCUCAGUGAGGUCUUCGGACCGGACGCCGGUGGUCGGAAACGUCCGCCAGCGGCUGGAAAGUUGCCCAAACUCGGUCGCUUAGAGGAAGUAAAAGUCGUAACAAGGUCUCCGUCGGUGAACCUGCAGAAGGA
rnacentral:rRNA from 1 species